GAGCAUUUCUCCAGGCCUCCGUACGUGGAAGGAGGGGACCUGAUGAUCUACUGCAAGGAGCAGAACAAGUUUACGUUCAAAAAGAGAGAUGGACGGGAACCCAUGAGAGUGCUGCACCUCAAGUACCCUGCAACCGCCAGAAACUGUGUGAGGCCAUAGAGCAGGCUCAGUCAGCCCAGAGACAGCAUGCGAUGGUGAAGCAGAAAUCACAGCGCUUUCUCAAACCGGGAGACAAGUGUUGAUGUCGUCACCGACCAGAACGAUGUCACCGCUGCCCAGAAUGAUGUCACCGCUGCCCAGAAUGAAGUCCUGAUUACCCAGAACGAAGUCACCGCUGCCAGCAUGAUGUCAUGAUACGCAGAAUGGUGUCACCGCUGCCCAGAAUGAAGUCCUGAUUACCCAGAAUGAUGUCAUGGUUACCAGCCUGACGUAAUCGCUACUCAGUAGGUCACCACCACCCAGAAUGUCACCACUGAUCAGCCGGAACACUGUUCCUGCUACUGUACUGCCCGGCCAACACACUGCUACAGUACUGCCCGGCCCAACACACAUUUGCACUAAAGAAAAGCCGUGCAUUAGUGUUUACAGUCCUGUUUACUAAUGGUCACUGCUGCCUUAUGGAGAAUAAAUUAAAUCUGAUAAUUUGACUGUUAUGAAAUAAUUUUGAUAAUAUCUGCAUCAAUGAUAGGAAUGUUGUGCUUUUUGGUUUACACAAUUUCCCUCCAGAAUCAAUGUGGUUUUUGGUUUACACAAUUCCCUCCAGAAUCAAUGUGUUUUUGGUUUACACAAUUCCCUCCAGAAUCAAUGUGGUUUUUUGGUUUACACAUUCCCUCCAGAAUCAAUGUGGUUUUUGGUUUACACAAUUCCCUCCAGAAUCAAUGUGGUUUUUGGUUUACACCAAUUCCCUCCAAGAUCAAUGUGGUUUUUGGUUUACACAAUUCCUCCAGAAUCAAUGUGGUUUUUGGUUUAACACAAUUCCCUCCACAAUCAAUGUGGUUUUUGGUUUACACAAUUCCCUCCACAAUCAUGUGGUUUUGGUUUACACAAUUCCCUCCACAAAUCAAUGUGGUUUUUGGUUUACACAAUUCCCUCCAGAAUCAAUGACUCCAGAAUCAAUAAAAAAACAUAUAUAGAAAUGAGAUGAAGGAUCUAUACAAUGUGUUUUUUGUUUUGUCUUUGCUUUUCUCGUCGUGUUUACAGAUGUUCUGAUUUAAGGGGUCAAUGAAAGUUUGUCUGACUGCUGUAUACUAACAAGAGUUGAUUAUAUUGGGCAAUGGUAUUGAAAAGUCAGUUAUUCAUUGUUUCUUGUUUGGAGGAAAUAUGCACUUAACUCUUUCAAUUUUCCCUUUUGAUUAACAAUCAUUUUACUGACAGAUUGAUAUUAUCUUGAAAUGGGGGGGUUAAUUUUGUAAAACUGUUUAUGUAAAGUUUAUGUAAAGUGAUGUACUGUAGGCAUCUACAGUAUAGGCUGUGUUGACCAGUGAAGACUAAUGACCAGUGUACUGAAAACUAAUUAAAUUAAAUAUUACAUUUCAUAUAUGUUGCUGUCAUCUAUACAACCAACAAUGUAUGAGCAUAUUCUGCCCUAAUCUAUCCUGCUAACCUUGGUGGACCAAAUAAAUACUCGAAUACAAACAUUAAAUCUUUUAAAUAUA